rnacentral:tRNA from 4 species
GGAAGAUGCCGCUAAAUGGUUGGCAACCAGUCUUGAAAACUGGGGUACAGUUAACUGUAAGGGUUCGAUUCCUUCAUCUUCCU